rnacentral:rRNA from 1 species
UACGGGAAGGCAGCAGUGGGGAAUAUUGCACAAUGGGCGAAAGCCUGAUGCAGCUAUGCCGCGUGUAUGAAGAAGGCCUUAGGGUUGUAAAGUACUUUCAUCGGGGAGGAAAAACAAAACUAAUAAUUUUAUUUCUUGACGUUACCCGAAAAAGAAGCACCGGCUAACUCCGUGCCAGCAGCCGCGGUAAUACGGAGGGUGCUAGCGUUAAUCAGAAUUACUGGGCGUAAAGAGCACGUAGGUGGUUUUUUUAAGUCAGAUGUGAAAUCCCUGGGCUUAACCUAGGAACUGCAUUUUGAAACUGAAAUACUAGAGUAUCGUAGAGGGAGGUAGAAUUCUAGGUGUAGCGGUGAAAUGCGUAGAUAUCUGGAGGAAUACCUGUGGCGAAAGCGGCCUCCUAAACGAAUACUGACACUGAGGUGCGAAAGCGUGGGAGCAAACAGGGAUUAGAUACC